rnacentral:rRNA from 1 species
GAUGAACGCUGGCGGCGUGCCUAAUACAUGCAAGUCGAGCGAACAGACGAGGAGCUUGCUCCUCUGACGUUAGCGGCGGACGGGUGAGUAACACGUGGAUAACCUACCUAUAAGACUGGGAUAACUUCGGGAAACCGGAGCUAAUACCGGAUAAUAUAUUGAACCGCAUGGUUCAAUAGUGAAAGACGGUUUUGCUGUCACUUAUAGAUGGAUCCGCGCCGCAUUAGCUAGUUGGUAAGGUAACGGCUUACCAAGGCAACGAUGCGUAGCCGACCUGAGAGGGUGAUCGGCCACACUGGAACUGAGACACGGUCCAGACUCCUACGGGAGGCAGCAGUAGGGAAUAUUGCGCAAUGGGCGAAAGCCUGACGGAGCAACGCCGCGUGAGUGAUGAAGGUCUUCGGAUCGUAAAGCUCUGUUAUUAGGGAAGAACAAAUGUGUAAGUAACUAUGCACGUCUUGACGGUACCUAAUCAGAAAGCCACGGCUAACUACGUG